ensembl:lncRNA
GGACUAUAUUCGGUUUUGACUAUCAUCAAGUGCGUGUUUUCAAACUUUCUCUCAGUGCGUGGUGGCAGGUGCCUAUAAGCAGCCAUUCGCGUAGCCUCCACUACCCCACCCCCAGUGAAGUGUAGCUCGAUCCUCUCCGUGCGCUCGCUGUCGGAUAAUCGAUCAACCGUCUCUACCAUAGAUGCAGGCAGAAGGACUGGCAAAACAGAACAUUCCGCCGAGUGCAAUCUCUAACGUUUGACGUUUUGCGCCCCCCCCCCCCUCAUUAAUUAAACAAACCAAAUGGCUUUUGCAAACCAUGCACAUUUGAUUCCCGAACUGAAGCUCGAAGAGGCUGAGGGGGAGUGUUUGACGAGGAGCAUCAGUCUGGGCCAAUUGCAGCGUUUACAUCAACGAAGCAAGCCGCCUUCACCGACUGGGUCUAAAUCGAGAGGACACAGGUUGUGGAUCCUGAAGGGCACCUCUGAAUUGCUGCUUGGCCUGGGAAAGGCAGCGGAAGGUGGGGGUUGGAGUGGCUGGGACCCUCUUCACUGCUUAUGGUCUGAGGACAGAGUGGGCCAAGCAGCCCUAACUGGCAGACUGGUCUCAAGACCUAAGGUCAGCACAGACCUUGUGUUCCAACCAAAAAACAUGGUCAGGAUUUGGCUGCUGAGGUCAUUCAUAAUAUUGUAAAAAAAAACUGUUUUAAUAAAAUGUUCUGUCUGCCAGCAAGAGGGGAGUGAACCCUUUUAACAUUAAAGGUUACACAGGUUGUGAGCUAG